rnacentral:lncRNA from 1 species
CACAAUGGAAUUUCUCUGAUAUACUUCAAAAAGAACUAUAAAUAUUUUUUGAACUGAACAAACGGUAUCACAGUACUGUUCGCUCUGUGUGUUAUAUACAUGUAAACAAAAGUCACUGCUUCUUCAGAGAUCUAUCAAGUGGCACCAUGGUUAACAAGAUACUUGAUACAUUUGUACAUCAUGUACAGAAAUUUGCAUCUUGAUAGAAACAUGUACACUGCUUAAAGCAAACUGGACUAUGCAGAUACUUUAGUUACAUCUUGAAAAAGGUUUAAUGCUAAAAAACAAACUGCAGAAGAAAAAAGAGGUAUAUGUUCCAGCAAGCUUCAGAUAACACCACAUGUACUUCUGGAGGUGCUCCUCAGUCAAACAAAUCUACAAGUUUUACAUACAUGGAUAUUCAAUGGAAAACAAUUAGCAACAUAAGGUAGACUGGAUUCAAGAAACAUUGUACAAGUGUACAUACCUAAUAUCUAGCUAUAUAUAGAAAAUAAUACUGACCUGGGUACUUUUUUUUUUGCGGGUGUACUGAACUGGGUAAUAAGAGAAAAGAAACAGAAAAAAAAAAGAGCUUAAAAAACUGUUUACACCAGGAACUGUAAGUAAUCUGAUCUACGGACUUUGUUAAGGUGUUUAAGGAUAAAUAAUUAAUUAGGUAGAUUGGGUGAGAGAAGGUGCUUCUCAUCUAGUUCUACAAUCAGUUUGGGCAAUGGCCGUGACAGUUAAACAGUGAACUGGACAAUAUGCUCAAUAUACUGACGAACAUACUCACUUGAUUUACUAGAAUUUGCAUUAACGGGAUGAUGAAUGGGUCUCAUAUCCUGACUAAACUUGAGAUGAAUAUAGCCAUUAUUUGGUCUCGCUAAUACAUUGACUACUCCAUUAUUAGAAGAAAAAAAUGCAGAAAAUACUGCAUGCAACCAAUUCGUACCAGAUCUAUGAUGGUCUACGCACUGUUGACUCAAAGAAAGAUUUAGAAGAAGAAGAGCAACUAGAUCUAACCAGUGAUUGGUGGACUCCAAAGUUGCUUGCGGUUGGAGAACUUGGAGUAGACUUUUUACGCCCACCAGUAAGAACUGGGUUCCAUUGUUCUCAUGGAUGGCACUCGGUUGUUGGCGACGCGGAAGGCAACGAUCACCGGAUU